AUUGAACGCUGGCGGAAUGCUUUACACAUGCAAGUCGAACGGUAACAGGUCUUCGGAUGCUGACGAGUGGCGAACGGGUGAGUAAUAUAUCGGAACGUGCCCAGUCGUGGGGGAUAACGUAGCGAAAGUUACGCUAAUACCGCAUACGAUCUACGGAUGAAAGCGGGGGAUCGCAAGACCUCGCGCGAUUGGAGCGGCCGAUAUCAGAUUAGGUAGUUGGUGGGGUACAGGCUCACCAAGACAACGAUCUGUAGCUGGUCUGAGAGGACGACCAGCCACACUGGAACUGAGACACGGCCCAGACUCCUACGGGAGGCAGCAGUGGGGAAUUUUGGACAAUGGACGCAAGUCUGGUCCAGCCAUUCCGCGUGCAGGAUGAAGGCCCUCGGGUUGUAAACUGCUUUUGUACGGAACGAAAAGGUCUCUAUUAAUACUGGGGGCUCAUGACGGUACCGUAAGAAUAAGCACCGGCUAACUACGUGCCAGCAGCCGCCGUAACAC
rnacentral:rRNA from 1 species